rnacentral:rRNA from 1 species
GACGAACGCUGGCGGCGUGCCUAAUACAUGCAAGUAGAACGCUGAAGCGAGGAGCUUGCUCUUCUUGGAUGAGUUGCGAACGGGUGAGUAACGCGUAGGUAACCUGCCUUGUAGCGGGGGAUAACUAUUGGAAACGAUAGCUAAUACCGCAUAACAAUGGAUGACACAUGUCAUUUAUUUGAAAGGGGCAAUUGCUCCACUACAAGAUGGACCUGCGUUGUAUUAGCUAGUAGGUGAGGUAAUGGCUCACCUAGGCGACGAUACAUAGCCGACCUGAGAGGGUGAUCGGCCAAACUGGGACUGAGACACGGCCCAGACUCCUACGGGAGGCAGCAGUAGGGAAUCUUCGGCAAUGGGGGCAACCCUGACCGAGCAACGCCGCGUGAGUGAAGAAGGUUUUCGGAUCGUAAAGCUCUGUUGUAAGUCAAGAACGGGUGUGAGAGUGGAAAGUUCACACUGUGACGGUAGCUUACCAGAAAGGGACGGCUAACUACGUG